UACGUAGGGGGCAAGCGUGGUCCGGAUUUACUGGGCGUAAAGCGCGGGCAGGCGGUUGGACAAGGGGGAUGGGAAAGCGCUGGGCUAAACCGAGCGAGGCCAUUCCAAACUGUUCAACUGGAGGGCAGUAGAGGUAGGUAGAAUUCCGGGUGGAGUGGUGAAAUGCGUAGAGAUCCGGAGGAAUACCAGAGGCGAAGGCGGCCUACUGGGCUGCACCUGACGCUGAGACGCGAAAGCCAGGGGAGCGAACGGG
rnacentral:rRNA from 1 species